rnacentral:lncRNA from 1 species
UUGUUCAGCCCGCGUGGCCAUCACUGCCCCAACGCAAUCAAUACGAAAGAGGCUCUGACCGCGGGCAGUCUUCAUCGCAGAGUUCCAACGGCAAAACGGUCUCCACCUCACAAUCGGGCUGGGUACGGGGCAGAGUCCACCGGGAAGGGAAGCUCCGCCGUCAGCGUAACCGGCUAGAGUGAGAUGGAAGAUGAAAAGUGUGCCGCGGCUUCUCUGCUCAGAUAAGAUCAAGUAGUGUUU